rnacentral:misc_RNA from 1 species
CAGAGUUCAUGCCCUUACGGGUAGAUCUCCCACCCUUGAAUACUAUACCUUUGUUGCUUUGGCGGGCCGCCUCGGCUACCGGCUUCGGCUGGUAAGUGCCCGCCAGAGGACCCCUAAACUCUUGUUUACAGUGUCGUCUGAGUACUAUACAAUAGUUA